rnacentral:rRNA from 1 species
CUAGGCGUUUGGACUCGUGUCGUGAGAUGUUGGGUUAAGUCCCGUAACGAGCGCAACCCUUGUCCUUAGUUACCAGCACGUAAUGGUGGGCACUCUAAGGAGACUGCCGGUGACAAACCGGAGGAAGGUGGGGAUGACGUCAAGUCAUCAUGGCCCUUACGGCCUGGGCUACACACGUGCUACAAUGGUCGGUACAAAGGGUUGCCAAGCCGCGAGGUGGAGCUAAUCCCAUAAAACCGAUCGUAGUCCGGAUCGCAGUCUGCAACUCGACUGCGUGAAGUCGGAAUCGCUAGUAAUCGCGAAUCAGAAUGUCGCGGUGAAUACGUUCCCGGGCCUUGUACACACCGCCCGUCACACCAUGGGAGUGGGUUGCACCAGAAGUAGCUAGUCUAACCUUCGGGAGGACGGUACACUACGGUUCCAG